UUUUUUUUUUUUUUUUCUAAUUUUUGGUUGGUGGCGGCGGUGCUGGGCCAGGGGAAGGAAGGGACACGGAGGCCGCCCUCGCCCCGCCACCUCCUACCAGCUUCCCCCCAGCCCCGGCUCCGGGAGAUGUGCCGGGCGGGGGGCCCGGGUUCGCCGAGCCGCAGGAGAGACACGCUGGGCCGACCCCAGAGCGGCGCUGGACAGGAAAACAUUUAAAGUUGAUGAUAUGUUAUCAAAAGUAGAGAAAAUGAAAGGAGAGCAAGAAUCUCAUAGCUUGUCAGCUCAUUUGCAGCUUACAUUUUUGGUUUCUUCCACAAAAAUGAUAAGCCAUCACCAAACUCAGAAAAUGAACAAAAUUCUGUUACCCUGGAAGUCCUGCUUGUGAAAGUUUGCCACAAAAAAAGAAAGGAUGUAUGUUGUCCAAUAAGGCAAGUUCCCACAGGUAAAAAGCAGGUGCCUUUGAAUCCUGACCUCAAUCAAACAAAACCUGGAAAUUUCCCGUCCCUUGCAGUUUCCAGUAAUGAAUUUGAACCUAGUAACAGCCACAUGGUGAAGUCUUACUCGUUGCUAUUUAGAGUGACUCGUCCAAGAAGAAGAGAGUUUAAUGGAAUGAUUAAUGGAGAAACCAUGAAAAUAUUGAUGUCAGUGAAGAGCUUCCAGCCAGAAGAAAAUGAAAUCGUGAGGAUGGGGAAAAGACAUUUGUUGCACAAAUGACAGUAUUUGAUAAAAACAGAGUUUCACUCUUGUUGCCCAGGCUGGAGUGCAGUGGCAUGAUCUGGACUCACUGCAACCUCCACCUCCCAGGUUUAAGCAGUUCUCCUGCCUGAGCCUCUCGGAUUACAGAUGUCAGUACUUUGUGUGCUCUUGAAAUAGGAAAUGUACAGAUCCCUAUUGCCAGACACAUCAUUCUCUCCAUCCAGAAAGCCAACUUUGCAAGGACAAAAAAAAAAAUUAGUGUGAAACAAAAUGUGGCUUUUCCAAAGACAGAUGUGAUUAUUUAUAGUCAAUGUGGCCUCAAAAUGUCAUUGAUUGUGAAAUAGCAAACAUGCAGGAUCAUAAUAUUUGGACGGAAUCUUGCACUGUCUCCCAGGCUGGAGUGCAGUGGCACGAUCUCUGCUCACUGCAACCUCCGCCUCCAGGCUUCCAGUGAUUCUCCUGCUUCAGCCUCCCGAGUAGCUGGGACUACAGGCGCACCUCACCACACCCAGCUAAUUUUUAGUAUUUUUAGUAGAGACGAGGUUUCACUAUGUUGGCCAGGAUGGUCUCGAUCUCCUGACCUCGUGAUCUGCCCACCUCGGCCUCCCAAAGUGCUGGGAUAAUAUGCAUGAGCCACAGUGCCCGGCCUAUGCUUUUUUUCUUUUUUUUGAGACGGAGUCUCGCUCAGUCACCCAGGCUGGAGUACAGUGGCGCGAUCUCAGCUCACUGUAACCUCUGCCUCCCAGGCUCAAGCAAUUCUCAUGCCUCAGCCUCCUGAGUGGCUGGGAUUAUAGGUGUGUGCCACCACACCCUGCUAAUUUUUUUUUUCUUUUUGAGACGGGUCUUGCCCUGUUGCCAGGCUGAAGUGCAAUGGCUCACUGCAACAUUUGCCUCCCGGGUUCAAGUGAUUCUCCUGCCUCACUCUCCCUAGUUGCUGGGAUUACAGGUGUGCACUACCACAUCCAGCUAAUUUUUGUAUUUUUAGUAAAGAUGGGGUUUCACCAUGUUGGCCAGGGUGGUGUCUUGAUCUCCUAACCUUGUGAUCCACCCACCUCAGCCUCCCGAAGUGCUGGGAUUACAGGCGGGAGCCAUUGCGCCUGUCCUAAUAUUUGUAUUUUUAGUAAAGAUGGGGUUUUACCAGGUUGACCAGGCUGGUCUCGAACUCCUGACCACAAGUGAUCCAACCGCCUCGGCCUCCCAAAGUGCUGGGAUUACAAGUGUGAGCCACUGCGUCCAGUCUCUUGGCCUCUAAAAUUUUUUUUUUUUUUGAAACGGAGUCUUGCUGUGUCGCCCAGGCUGGAGUGCAGUGGCGUGAUCUCGGCUCACUGCAAGCUCCGCCUCCCGGGUUCACGCCAUUCUCCUGCCUCAGCCUCCCGAGUAGCUGGGACCACAGACACCCACCACCAUGUCCGGCUAAUUUUUUUAUUUAUAGUAGAGAUGGGGUUUCACCAUGUUAGCCAGGAUGUUCUCAAUCUCCUGACCUCGUGAUCCGCCCGCCUCAGCCUCCCAAAGUGCUGGGAUUACAAGUGUGAGCCACCGUGCCUGGCCAGGCCUCUAAAUUUUUAAGAUUUACUUUUUAAUUUUGUGUGUGUGUUUGAGACACAGUUUCGCUCUUGUUGCCCAGGCUGGAGUGCAAUGGCAUGAUCUCAGCUCACUGCAACCUCUGCCUCUUGGGUUCAAGCAAUUCUCCUGCCUCAGCCUCCCAAGUAGCUGGGAUUGCAGGCAUAUGUGCCACCAUGCCCGGCUGAUUUUGUAUUUUUAGUAGAGAUGGGGUUUCUCCAUGUUGCUCAGGUUGGUCUCGAACUCCCGACCUCAGGUGAUCCACCUGCCUCGGCCUACCAAAGUGCUGGGGUUACAGGUGUGAACCACUAUGCCCAGCCUAAGAUUGACUUUUGAGAGAUACUCUACUUACCUCUACUUACCAAGAGGAAAAGAGAUAUAAACAUAUUAAAUAACAAGCAUUUUAUAUACAUUUCCCAGUUAAUCUACGUAAUAACCCUGUGAAUACAGAUGAGAAAACUACAGCUACAGGAAAUAAAGAAGCCUUCCCACAGUAACACUGCCUAUAAAUGACGGAAUAAACUCAGGAUGUUUUGAAUUCAAAGCUUAUGUAUGCUCUAUGCACUUCACUCUGCUUCCUGAGGCAGGUGAGAUGUUUUAAUAUCUACUUGCCUGAAUGUUAAUGUCUGCCCACAGAAAUAAGUCGGAGCUCUGGAGUAGAGAACACCCGAUGAUUCAGAAUCGUUCCGAAGUGCUAUAUUUCUUCGACUGCUCAGACUGUACCCCUCAAAACCAGCUGUCCACUCUUUUUCAAAGCAAAGAUAUUGAAAACUGUUAGAAUCUCUUGAGGGAUAUCUUCAAUACAGACACGUUAAAUAAAACAUGGAAAUGGGAGACUACUCUUAGGGGCCAUGGUCAAGUUCAAUAAAAUAAAAGAUUCCAUUAACAGGGUAUCAUGAUCAGUCCCACAAAUUACAAAAGAUUUUAGUAUAUUCCUGCAUAAUUUUGACAUAAUAAAUCACACAAGUGUUAUCUCUUAUCUAAUAAAAUCAUUGUACAAGCA